rnacentral:rRNA from 1 species
GACGAACGCUGGCGGCGUGCUUAACACAUGCAAGUCGAACGGAAAGGCCCUGCUUUUGUGGGGUGCUCGAGUGGCGAACGGGUGAGUAACACGUGAGUAACCUGCCCUUGACUUUGGGAUAACUUCAGGAAACUGGGGCUAAUACCGGAUAGGAGCUCCUGCUGCAUGGUGGGGGUUGGAAAGAUUCGGCGGUUGGGGAUGGACUCGCGGCUUAUCAGCUUGUUGGUGGGGUAGUGGCUUACGAAGGCUUUGACGGGUAGCCGGCCUGAGAGGGUGACCGGCCACAUUGGGACUGAGAUAGGGCCCAGACUCCGACGGGAGGCAGCAGUGGGGAAUAUGGCACAAUGGGCGGGAGCCUGAUGCAGCAACGCCGCGUGCGGGAUGAUGGCCUACGGGUUGUGAACCGCUUUCGCCUGUGACGAAGCGUGAGUGACGGUAAUGGGUAAAAAAGCACCGGCUAACUACGUG